rnacentral:rRNA from 1 species
GACGAACGCUGGCGGCGUGCCUAAUACAUGCAAGUAGAACGCACAGUUUAUACCGUAUCUUGCUACACCAUAGCCUGUGAGUUGCGAACGAGUGAUUCACCCGUAUGUACCCUGUCUUGUAGCGUGGGGUAACUAUUCUUAACGUUAUCUAAUAUCCCAUCUUCUUAAUUAUUCCAUGAUAAUUCAUUGAAUGGUGCAAUUGCACCACUACUAGCUGGUCCUGCGUUGUAUUAGCUAGUAGGUGAGGUAACGGCUCACCUAGGCCACGAUACAUAGCCUGCCUGAGAGGGUGAUCGGCCACACUGGGACUGAGAAACGGCCCAGACCUCUACGGGAGGGAGCAGGAGGGAAACAUUGGAAAAGGACGAAAGUCUGACCGAGGAACGACGCGGGAGGGAAGAAGGGUUUCGGAUCGUAAAAGUCUGUUGGAAGAGAAGAAAGGGUGUGAGGGUGGAAAGUUCACGUUGUGACGGUACCUAAACAGAAAGCAACGGCUAACUACGUG